CUCUCGCAUCGAUGAAGAACGCAGCGAAAUGCGAUAAGUAAUGUGAAUUGCAGAAUUCAGUGAAUCAUCGAAUCUUUGAACGCACCUUGCGCCACGUGGUAUUCCACGGGGCACGCCUGUUUGAGUGUCACGUAAACCCAUCGCGUCGCGGAUUGUCAUGAUCUGCGGGGCGGAUUUGGACGCUGCCGUAGUUGGCUCGUCUCGAAAUGCAUUAGCCAGUCCGAGGACGCGCGCCACUGGUGUGAUAAUUCACUUUGCGCCGCUGGUGUGUCCGACGAAGGCUCAUAAUCGCCCGCAAGGGCAACAUUUUUAAUGCUCUGGCCUCAAAUCAGGUGGGACUACCCGCUGAACUUAA
rnacentral:sRNA from 1 species